rnacentral:rRNA from 1 species
AAUAGAUACCCCGGUAGUCCACGCCGUAAACGUUGGGCGCUAGAUGUGGGGGCCAUUCCACGGUUUCCGCGUCGUAGCUAACGCAUUAAGCGCCCCGCCUGGGGAGUACGGCCGCAAGGCUAAAACUCAAAGGAAUUGACGGGGGCCCGCACAAGCGGCGGAGCAUGCGGAUUAAUUCGAUGCAACGCGAAGAACCUUACCAAGGCUUGACAUAUACGAGAACACUGCAGAAAUGUAGGACUCUUUGGACACUCGUAUACAGGUGGUGCAUGGUUGUCGUCAGCUCGUGUCGUGAGAUGUUGGGUUAAGUCCCGCAACGAGCGCAACCCUCGUCGCAUGUUGCCAGCACGUAAAGGUGGGAACUCAUGUGAGACUGCCGGGGUCAACUCGGAGGAAGGUGGGGAUGACGUCAAAUCAUCAUGCCCCUUAUGUCUUGGGCUUCACGCAUGCUACAAUGGCCGGUACAAAGGGCUGCAAUACCGUAAGGUGGAGCGAAUCCCAAAAAGCCGGUCUCAGUUCGGAUUGAGGU